UCUCCGUUGGUGAACCAGCGGAGGGAUCAUUACAGGACUCGCAAGACUCCUACAACCCUGUGAACUUAACUAUAAGCACGUUGCUUCGGCGGGUGUCUCGGAGGGGGUUCUCCCUCCCCGAGACGCUAAACCCGCCGGCAGCCUACUAUACUCUGUCUCUUUGCGUCGGCAUCUCGAGUACUAUCAACAAGUUAAAACUUUCAACAACGGAUCUCUUGGUUCUG
rnacentral:misc_RNA from 1 species